rnacentral:rRNA from 1 species
GAGAGCCUGAUCCAGCCAUCCCGCGUGAAGGACGACGGCCCUAUGGGUUGUAAACUUCUUUUGUAUAGGGAUAAACCUACUCUCGCGAGAGUAGCUGAAGGUACUAUACGAAUAAGCACCGGCUAACUCCGUGCCAGCAGCCGCGGUAAUACGGAGGGUGCAAGCGUUAUCCGGAUUUAUUGGGUUUAAAGGGUCCGUAGGCGGACUCGUAAGUCAGUGGUGAAAUCUCAUAGCUUAACUAUGAAACUGCCAUUGAUACUGCGGGUCUUGAGUAAAGUAGAAGUGGCUGGAAUAAGUAGUGUAGCGGUGAAAUGCAUAGAUAUUACUUAGAACACCAAUUGCGAAGGCAGGUCACUAUGUUUUAACUGACGCUGAUGGACGAAAGCGUGGGGAGCGAACAGGAUUAGAUACCCUGGUAGUCCACGCCGUAAACGAUGCUAACUCGUUUUUGGGUUUUCGGAUUCAGAGACUAAGCGAAAGUGAUAAGUUAGCCACCUGGGGAGUACGUUCGCAAGAAUGAAACUCAAAGGAAUUGACGGGGGCCCGCACAAGCGGUGGAUUAUGUGGUUUAAUUCGAUGAUACGCGAGGAACCUUACCAAGGCUUAAAUGGGAAUUGAUCGGUUUAGAAAUAGACUUUCCUUCGGGCAAUUUUCAAGGUGCUGCAUGGUUGUCGUCAGCUCGUGCCGUGAGGUGUUAGGUUAAGUCCUGCAACGAGCGCAACCCCUGUCACUAGUUGCUAACAUUCAGUUGAGGACUCUAGUGAGACUGCCUACGCAAGUAGAGAGGAAGGUGGGGAUGACGUCAAAUCAUCACGGCCCUUACGCCUUGGGCCACACACGUAAUACAAUGGCCGGUACAGAGGGCAGCUACACAGCGAUGUGAUGCGAAUCUCGAAAGCCGGUCUCAGUUCGGAUUGGAGUCUGCAACUCGACUCUAUGAAGCUGGAAUCGCUAGUAAUCGC